ensembl:lncRNA
UUUUUCCAUGAUGUCAAGCAAAAAGAAACUGAGUUUGAAGGUAGGCCUUGAAAUACAUCCACAGAUACACCUCCAAUUGUCUCAAAUGAUGUCAAUUAUCCUAUCAGAAACUUCUAAAGCCAUGACAUAAUCUUCUGGAAUUUUCCAAGCUGUUUAAAGGCACAGUCAACUUAGUGUAUGUAAACCUCUGACCCACUGGAAUUGUGAUACAGUGAAUUAUAAGUGAAAUAAUCUGUCUGUAAAAAAAUACUUGUUUCAUGCACAAAGUAGAUGUCCUAACUGACUUGCCAAAACUCUAGUUUGUUAACAAGAAAUUUGUGGAGUGGUUGAAAAACUAGUUUUAGUGACUCCAACCUAAGUGUAUGUAAACUUCCGACUUCAACUGUAGCCGAGUCUUAUUUUCUAUAUUAAUGACUGUCAUUGCCUCUUUAUGACUGUAUGAGUACCUCUAUGGGUAAAGGAAUAUUUCCUUCUGUUUAUAUUGUGUUUUAUUACAUUUGCAUUAUUGUAAUGGGGCAGAUGUUUGACUAUGUGUGACUGAUGUCUCAGGCCAUUACUAAACUAAAUAUUGUAGAGGGAUAUCUGUAAACACACCAUUCCACCAUUCCCAUCCAAAUGUAAGACAGGGAACUAUAUUGUGUUUAUUUUUCUGGCAAAUGUGAAAUAAAUGCAAUUUAAGUUUUUCAAGGUCUAUGGUUAUGCAAAGACAGAAAACAUCCCUGAGUAGAAUUGAAUAAUAAUUAUUUUUGCACUUUAUAUCAACAAAACAUCCUUCAAACCACUUUAGGGACUGAGAGAGUAUCCCAUUCUCUUCAGUGUGGAGGCUCCAGACAUUCUCUUCAGUGUGGAGGAUACAGACAUUCUCCUCAGUGUGGAGGAUACAGACAUUAUCUUCAGUGUGGAGGCUACAGGCAUUCUCUUCAGUGUGGAGGCUACAGACAUUCUCUUCAGUGUGGAGGCUACAGGCAUUCUCUUCAGUGUGGAGGCUACAGACAUUCUCUUCAGUGUGGAGGCUACAGGCAUUCUCUUCAGUGUGGAGGCUACAGACAUUCUCUUCAGUGUGGAGGCUUCAGGCGUUUUCUUCAGUGUGGGGUCUAUAGGUGUUUCCAUUUACCUAACAUUGUGACUCAGGGGGUGGAAGGCAAGCUAUAUGUGGCAUGAAGUCUCCCAAAUAUGUAUACAAUAGUUGUAUGAAAGUGGCAAAGCAGGGUAGCUUGUCCUCUAACUGUGGUGUUGGUUCAAGGCCCUGGAAGGAAAAAAGUAUUUCUAAAUAACCUAACUAGAAUGCUUUGUAAAAUGUGAAAAUGUCUGCAAAUACAAAUGUUAUUUUCUUCUGUAAUACAAUUUUUACAGAAAUUGUGUGCGAAGCAUUGCGUUGCAUCAUGUCACCAAAAUUGACUGAUAGUCCAUAAUUUCUGGUUUUGUAUAUGUAACCUCAACCCUAUGUGUUUUUCUCCCCUGCUUUCUAUCUCCCUAGGAAUGUCACCUGAGAGGCAAAGUGAGGUGGAUCCUGUUCCAUGACAAAGACAGCAGAUGAGCCUAGUUCACCUGUUCCUCUUGGACGGCCACAGGGAUGGAUGCUGUGAGGAACCUGGCUCUUGGGCUCCACCUUGAUAUGAUUCUCUAAGGGAGAAUAUGACUGCAGCAGCACUUCACUCAGUGCUCUGACAAGGACCUAAGUGUAGAAGCUAUGGCCUGCACCAACCUCACUCCUGCAGCAAAUGGUGCAUCCUCUGAUCCCCUAUAGUAAACAGAGCUUCAGCGUUGGGAAACAAGAGGAGCAAACAAGGCUGAACUCUAGAGCUUAAGGGGGGAUCGUUGUUGGAUCAGCAGUGAUUACGAAUUAAGUGAUGUUGUCCGUAAGCACAUUAGGUUAUGAUUAGUGAGGGCCGUUGAGAGCAGAGUGCUACACCUCUGAGGACUGUGGUCGACCGUCAUGCUAGUGAACUCUCCAGCUCCACGGAUCCUUACCCGUUCCAGUCGGGUUAAUAUGAUAUGUGAUGCUACAGUUGGGACAUUGAUAGAAGCCUCUCACUAUGACAAGUACCUCUGAUAAGAUUGUUUUGAGGACACACACACACAAAAUAUUUAGCUAUUUUGCAAACUACCAAUAUCCAGAGGCACAUUGUGAUUCCUCAAGUGAGUUGUUUUCUCAUUGCUAAAGUAGAUGAAUGCAUUAAUUGUAUUUUGCUACAGUGUAUAAAGAUAUUCAUAUUGAAUACUGAAACAAUUUAUAUGUUAAACAUAUGUAUAUGUGUUUUAUACACCUGUGAUAAUGAUACACCACCAAAUAUUAUGGAAGCCAUAAACUAUGGAAAAAACAGAUUGAAAUUAAAUUUGUUGUACAGAUUGUGAAAUUGUUUAUUAAAUGCUUUAAUAUGAGAGUUGAUGGUAUUUCUCUAGUUUGUGUCUUUUGAACUGAGCAAUGUAAAUGUGAUGCAUGUUCAAAUUAGAAAUGCAAAUAAUAAGAUUACAUACUGUGAAAGAGAGUGAUUCAUUGCCAGUGGCAAAUAGACAGUCUGUGUUCCUUGUUGUAUGGAAAAC